CUGCUUGCACACUUCCUCGGCCCCACAUGGAAGAAAAGAUUUUUCAGCCUUUCUCUAGUGCCAUCAAUGCUCGCUCACGGUUCACACACUCGUCCACCAGACCACCACGUUGCGACUUGCGAGCCUGUGCAGCUGCGUUUGCGCAUCUGGUUUCUUCUGGGUCAUCUAUAUACUUCUCUCCUAGCAGGAACAGGAACAGCAAGCCACUCGCUCCUGCCGGCGAGACGAUGGAGCGGGAGCCGUCGCGUUCCACUGACAUGUGGGCUAGGUAUGCGCUUCGCCGGCGACGUGAUGCGGCACGGGGCUGGUGGACCCCUGUGGGUGCGCCGACUGGUACCGAACCAUCGGUUUGCGGACGUUCUACCCGAAGGCGGGGUCCGGCGGCGCCUCAAGCGUAUAGGACCUGCGCGUUGCAGGGCGCCAUCCCGGCGAACUCGGCGGAGCCCUUGACCACCUCCCACUCCACCACUUCGUCCUCGACGCCGGGUACCGCGGCGGCGGCGGAUGCGGCGGCAGAAACCGUGCCCACGGCGACGUCGAGCCCGGCGCCGACGACGUAUAUCCUCCGCCUCCCGCCAGCGACCUCCCCGAGCUCGCCAGCGACCACGUGCGGCCGGCGCACCUCGGGGGGCACCCCGGUGCCGGCCACCAUCCGCCACUCGUCCCGGGCCUCGUCGUACCGCUUCAGCCGCCACUCCCCGUACUCCGCCACGAUAUACAUCCGGCCGCCGGCGACGGCGCAGGAGCCCGUCCACCCCUCCCGCAUCCCGCGCGCCAUCUCGCACCACGAGUCCGCGGCGGCGUCGUACACGGCGCCGCGCGGCGCGCGCUCGAACGGCCACGCCCAACCCUCCGUCACGUACAGCUUCCCGCCCGCCGCCGCCGCGUCGUACCGCGCCACGGCGGCGCCGCGGCGCGGCGCGGCCGGCGACCACCGCCCGGCCUCCGGGUCGAAGACCUCCGCCUCGCCGUCCUCCCCGGCCACCACCACCCGCCCUCCCACCUCCCCGGCCGCCAUGUACCCGCGGGGCGUCCGCAUCGCCGCCGCCUCCUCCCACCCGUUCCGCGCGGCGCUGUACACCGCCACGCUCGUCACGGCCUUGUCGCCGCCCUCCUCGACGCCCCCAAUCACGUAGAUCUGGCCGCGGCGGGGGAGCCCCACCACCGCGAACGACCCGGCCGCGGCGCCGCCGGGCACCGGCGGGAGCAGGAGCCACUUCCUCGAGAAACGGUCGAGCGCCUGGCACUGGAGGCGCCGCGACAUGGGGUCAAAGGCGAGGGCGAAGAGGAAGGGCACCGACCCCGUGGCCGCGGUCCCCGCCCCCGCCGCGUGAGGGAACAGCAGUGGCUUGGCCAGGGCGUCCGUGAGGAAGCGGUUCCAGGUGGAGGAGACGGUGCGGAAGAGGCGGUGGUAGAGGAAGGGCAGGUGGAGGAGGCACUUCUCGGCCACCUCCUCCGGCAGGCCCGGGAUGAGCUCCAUGACCUCCUCCCCCUCCCCGUCACCGGCGUCCAGCACCUGCUGCUUGCUCAUGGACGAGAAGCUCAUGGUGGCCGGGCCGAGCGGCGCGAUUCUUCGGUCGAAUUUGAUGCGAUUCGCUUCACCCCGCUGUGGGUGUGGGGGAGCUCUGUGGUUCGGCUUGGUGAUGAGGAAUGGAACCUGAAGCGGGGUGGGCACGAAUUUAUAGAGGUGAGUGGACUCUGGGCAAGUGCCAAGUCGUGCGGCUUUUCUCAGCUGGCGUCCUCCACUCCUCCCCUCCUGCCAAGGGCAACUACAGCUACAGCCCUUUCCAACCCACAGUCGUUCUUCUGUCUUCUCCCGAAUGAGAGCCCAUGGUGGCAGGCUGGCAGCGCCGGAGCCCGUUCUUCAUCGUCCCGAACUUGGCACGCAGCAAUAAGGCUUCGCCUCUCCAUGGAAUGCCUACAGCGUUUUCUACUUUAAACUACACUACGUAAAUAAGACCUCAAUUUCCAUCGCCGACGGUGUCACCAUGGUGGCCAUAUCGUCCCCAGGAUGUGGCGUCCCCGUGUUCGGUUGCCUUGAAGGUUCCAAGUCGGAAACGGUUCCAGACCAGAAAACAGUGAACCACUCAAUCCAGUCCAGAAUUUGACACCACAAAAGUGCCAUUGAUCCGCCCCUCAUCGUGUUGCAAUGGUGCUGGAUGUUGGAUGCUUUGACCAACAAAAGUGGGCGGUGCACGAUCGGAAAGAAUGGUCUUUGUGCUUGUGCAUCCAUGCAGGAGUACUACUGCACAGGGUGAAUGUGGCCAGGAACAGCCACAGGAACUUGAGGAAAGAAUGGUCUUUGUGGCAAUUAUUUUGAAACGAAGGCGAAGUAAUACCCCUCACUGCAACCGGGAAUCGGUUCGGGCUCGUCGUGCUUUGGUUCAAGUGUUACAACAUGCCACGGCCGCGUGGCCGGAUUUCGAAACGAUUGCCGUGAAGCUCGGUCCAUCCGGUUCUUGUUGGAUUGGAUCUGGCCAGCGGCCGGCUCCGGUGAUUCUUCGAGCUUGUUUGGCCGUACGCGUACGAGUUUUCCGCCACCCAGGCACGGACCCAAGGACGCGGCAGCUACUGCGCUGCCCGCGAUCACGACGAGUCGACGACCGACGCGACGGCAGCAACUUGGCUCCUGGCCCGAGGAGGCCAGGACAGGAGGAGGAGGGCCGCUUGUGGGCCCGGCGAGAGGUGCAUGUACUAGUACUGUACAGCCGUGAUGGACAGCAGUCCAGUGGGCCUGGUGGGCGCGGACGGGCGUGUCCGCAAAGGAAAGGAAAGCUAGUACGUAGCUACGAGAAUGUGCGGCGUGCGUGGGGCCCAUUUGUCCUGGCCGAGAAGUUUCCAAUUUAUUUCCUCUCAUCACUCCCAUAUAUGCCAUUUUCUGGUUUUUUUUAAUUUCUCUCUAAUAACUUUUAUAGUUUCGUAGAAGUAUGUCUAUUUUUAUUUAUUUAUUUAUUUAUUUAUUUACACACUGACACUGCUACACGCUGCCGUGCUCUGUCUCCGUGGGUUUCGGAUGAAAGAGGAGAGAUGGCGCUGCGUCGGUGCGUGUGCGUGAGAGUUUGGGCUCUGCACGCGCAGGCCGUCCGAGGCACCGACCUCUCCGGUACCGAUGCGCUCUCGACACGAGCCUGGAGACUCGUGCUGCUCGUUUUCCCUGUGUCGGUGCGGACCGUACUGCGACCACCGUCUUUUCCUCCGAC
rnacentral:misc_RNA from 1 species